ACGUCAGCACGGGCGCACGUGCACCGGAAGCCUCUCACCCCUCCCCACCCAUCUCUACCGUUGUUGGUGAUGUUUUGAGUGGUUUCGCAGCCGUGUCUGCUGCGCGAGUCUCUUCGCCGCUUCAUUUCUGUCAGAGAGGGCAGCCAGCGGAGGGUGUCAACGCACUACGAAGAGCAUGCACGAGGCCGACGUACGCGCCAAGCCCUUCCCACCAUGCCAGCAGCUUCGCCUUCAUCGCUUCGAUCCCCUUGUCGGCGCGGAGUGCGGCACCCACCACCUAAGGCGUCUAUGUGCAGCAAGAAGGGCGUCACAGCAGCAGUGGUAUUGGCGAGCCGGCGUCGGCAGCAUCCCGAUUAAAUAGAUUUGAUGCCGCGCACACGCUAGCCACGGUGGAGCUACGGAAGCGGCUGGUGUCACUCUUGUAGGAUGGCAUACACUCCUGCCCCUGCGCAGUGGAGGGCUCAGGCCCGAAGAACUUCGGCGACGAACUAGACACCGCUGACGACGCGGAACGCGUGUUGCUUGCUGUCAAGCCUUCUCACGAUCAGAACGAUGAGGAGCCCGGCUGCGCCGAAAAGCGGUAGCGACGCUGUCUUUAUCGGCUUGCACACUCCGGGCAGUGUCGCCGUCGUGAAGUCGAGGGCGAGUGUCUUGGUGGCGGUGACGGGCCGAUCUGGACUAGAGGAACGUGCGUUGGCGAACUCGGCCACGGCAGCUACAAAGGAAGCAGCGCAGGUAAAUGCGGAUGCGCGCAGGGAUGGCAAGACGGCCGAGUCAGCAAAUACGUUCUCGCUGUCGCCCCUUCAAGCGCAAAUUCGCUGCCAGCUCUUCUGGAAGGCGUCCGUGCAUGCCCUCCAGCGGUCUUCUAUGCGAUGUAGAACGCCCUUGCCUCUCCCCCAGCCGUGCUGGGCCCGGCCACCUUCCACAUAGCAUACCAGCUAUGCAUUUCGAUCCUAGCCGUGCUCAUGCGUGUGGAGCUGAACUUUACGCUGGCAUACUGCUAGUAUGCCUUUCUGGUGUCGUUGGCGAGUGGCAUCGAUCUUGUGGAACUGGGCAGCUGACCGUGCACUGGCGAAAGCCAUCGCGACGUCCGUCAUCAAGAUGACACCGAUUGCCCUUUGGAGCACAGGCGCUGCCUGUCGCGAGUGCCACUCCACCAGAUGUGCGCCCGCUUGCCGCUCUGCGGAAGGGCACCGCUUCCUUGCUCUGCGCCGCCAUCACCUCGGUCGGUGUGAGUGUGCCCAUGGAGGCAGCCUUCACGAAGUUCAGCAGUCACCUCCACAUCUCCGCCCACAGCGUCCAUCUCGCUUUCUCCUCUUCCUCGGCAAAUUUGGCCGUGAAGGGCUGCGUCAAGGUGUGCAAGAUGGCGCGCGUGACGGCCAGGAAUGCGGCCAGUCGUGACCCCGCCCCCGCCUUCGUCGGUCGUCUUUCUCUUCCGAGUAUAUUAUACACAUAGAUGUGUGAUGUGCGCACCACUUCCUCGCCACAGACGAAGGUAACGUCACCCCGCUCGGCGUACGCGUGCAGACUUGUUAGCCUCCCCCAUGAUCAUCAUCACACCGGCACGCUUUAGGCACGAUUCCUUUGUUUUUUUGGCUGAUGUUCUGUCUCGUGGCACGACGUGCACCUGCCAUGGCACGCGGGGGGAGAGGGAGAGGGAGAGAGAGAGAGACGGGGCACACACAAGCACGCGCACGCACAUACGCACGUGUUGUGGAGACGAGAAAGACAUCGCCUGUGGUUCUUUUGUCGAUAUUGGAGGUCACCACCCCCACCGUCUUGCGAUGCCCCCUCUCUGGUUCCUCACCUCCCCGUGAGUGCUGGCCGCGUCAUUCUCGGUGUCUGUCUCUGCCAGGUUAGAUCUGGGCAGACUGGCACGGAUCGGCAAGUACACUGUGGUGAGGGUGACAUGCCUCAUGGAGGCAUGCCUCCCUUCUGUGCAACACCCAUCCGCUCAUCACUUCCCUACCACCCUCCCUCUUUAUCUCUUUCCAUGGCCUUGCGCACAUGCACGCCACUGCACUGAUACAUCAUCCGGUGCGCUGCCGCCGAGCAG
rnacentral:misc_RNA from 1 species